UUCGGAUGGGAACUUUAAGGAUACUGCCAGUGACAAACUGGAGGACGUCAAGUCAUCAUGGCCUUACGGCCAGGGCUACACACGUGCUACAAUGGUCGGUACAGAGGGUUGCUACACAGCGAUGUGAUGCUAAUCUCAAAAAGCCGAUCGUAGUCCGGAUUGGAGUCUGCAACUCGACUCCAUGAAGUCGGAAUCGCUAGUAAUCGCGGAUCAGAAUGCCGCGGUGAAUACNUUCCCGGG
rnacentral:rRNA from 1 species